GAGGGGACAAGCGUUGUUCGGAAUUACUGGGCGUAAAGGGCGCGUAGGCGGCCUUCUCAGUCGAACGUGAAAUCCCCGGGCUCAACCCGGGAACUGCGUCCGAUACUGGAAGGCUUGAAUCCGGGAGAGGGAUGCGGAAUUCCAGGUGUAGCGGUGAAAUGCGUAGAUAUCUGGAGGAACACCGGUGGCGAAGGCGGCAUCCUGGACCGGUAUUGACGCUGAGGCGCGAAAGCCAGGGGAGCAAACGGGAUUAGAUACCCCGGUAGUCCUGGCCCUAAACGAUGAAUGCUUGGUGUGGCGGGUAUCGAUCCCUGCCGUGCCGAAGCUAACGCAUUAAGCAUUCCGCCUGGGGAGUACGGUCGCAAGGCUG
rnacentral:rRNA from 1 species